rnacentral:rRNA from 1 species
CACAGCGGUGGAGUAUGUGGUUUAAUCGAUGCAACGCGAAGAACCUUACCUGGUCUUGACAUCCCGGAGACCCUUAGGAAACUAGGGGGUGCUUCCAUCUGGAAGAAUCUGGAGACAGGUGCUGCAUGGCUGUCGUCAGCUCGUGUCGUGAGAUGUUGGGUUAAGUCCCGCAACGAGUGCAACCCUUGCCUUUAGUUGCCAGCAGUUCGGCUGGGCACUCUAAAGGGACUGCCGGUGUUAAACCGGAGGAAGGUGGGGAUGACGUCAAGUCCUCAUGGCCUUUAUGACCAGGGCUACACACGUACUACAAUGGCCGAUACAAAGGGCAGCGACACUGCGAGGUGAAGCCAAUCCCGUAAAAUCGGUCUCAGUCCGGAUUGGAGUCUGCAACUCGACUCCAUGAAGUUGGAAUCGCUAGUAAUCGUGGAUCAGCAUGCCACGGUGAAUACGUUCCCGGGCCUU